rnacentral:tRNA from 1 species
UGCGGGGAUAGCCAAGCGGCCAACGGCGCAGGACUUAAGAUCCUGUACAGAAGUGUUUCGAGGGUUCGAAUCCCUUUCCCCGCAU